GCGUGAGCGAUGAAGGCCUUCGGGUCGUAAAGCUCUGUUGUCAGGGAAGAACAAGUAUCGGAGUAACUGCCGGUACCUUGACGGUACCUGACCAGAAAGCCACGGCUAACUACGUGCCAGCAGCCGCGGUAAUACGUAGGUGGCAAGCGUUGUCCGGAAUUAUUGGGCGUAAAGCGCGCGCAGGCGGUUCCUUAAGUCUGAUGUGAAAGCCCCCGGCUCAACCGGGGAGGGUCAUUGGAAACUGGGGAACUUGAGUGCAGAAGAGGAGAGCGGAAUUCCACGUGUAGCGGUGAAAUGCGUAGAGAUGUGGAGGAACACCAGUGGCGAAGGCGGCUCUCUGGUCUGUAACUGACGCUGAGGCGCGAAAGCGUGGGGAGCGAACAGGAUUAGAUACCCUGGUAGUCCACGCCGUAAACGAUGAGUGCUAAGUGUUAGAGGGUUUCCGCCCUUUAGUGCUGCAGCAAACGCAUUAAGCACUCCGCCUGGGGAGUACGGCCGCAAGGCUG
rnacentral:rRNA from 1 species